GAUAGGCAAAAUGUGUUUGAAUGGAGAGUAACAAACAGAAAUGGAGAGGGGUUUGAGUGGGAUGUAAGAAAGUGGAAGAAUGUGAUAGAUAUGGCAGUUAAAGAUGAGGGAUUGAGCAAGUGGAAGAAUGAGAUGGAAAGAAAGGAAACUCUCGACUGGUAUAGGGAGAAAGAGGCCCCAAAGUGUGAGGUGUGGUAUGAGGGAAGCCUGGGAGGUGAUCUUCUUUUCCGUGCUAGAGCGCAGUGUCUGGAUGUGAAUGCAAGGAACUAUAGAUGGUCUGAGUCCCGCAGCAAAGUGUGCCAGAUGUGUGACUGGGGUGUGGACGAGACUGUGCAGCAUGUAGUGCUGGAAUGCAAGAAGUAUGACAGGGAGAGAACGAAGAUGAUGCAUGUGUUUUUGAGCGAGAUGGGACGUGGAGUGAACGCGAGGACGGCAAGGGAGUGGAUGGUGCUGCAUGCUGCUGGGGCUCAGUGGAGAGACGAGUGGACGAGUGAUUGAGGCAGUGAAAGAGUUCUUGGAGGGCAUGUGGCGUGAAAGAUAUAGGGAAUGAUAUCUUGCCCCGAGAACAUAGACUUUCCGCAUGUUUUUUGUUUUCUUUUCACAGGCCUGGCUGGGGAGAAAUCCCGAGCCACCUGUGACAUCAAGAUCAAGAUCAAGAUCAUGACGCAAGACUGGCACGGAAGGUUUACUUGUGGAGUGUGCAUGAGAGCAAGUGGAUUAAGAACUGCAUGAGAAUGGUUCAAGACCAAGGGAGCAAGAGGACUGUACAUGGAAACUUAACUUUUAUAAAGCGGAUAAUGAGAAGAUGAAAGACUUGUUUCGGGAAAUACAUAAAACACCCACGAAGAAGAAGAAGAAGCGAAGGCCUGACUCUCCAAUGGGUCACCUGUACAGCAAGAGCAAGAGCAAGAGAGCACACGCCGCAUCCCUUCUGGCCCUGCCCAACCAGCCCCCUAAAACACCCCAGAAGAAGAAGACGACGAAGGCUCCACACCCACGGGCCAGCGCUGGGGACCUGCUGGCCAGCGACACCCUCAGCCCCAACACUGCCAGGACAACACCUCCACCACCGCCGCCGGGAAGUCUUAACCUUCUCAUGCAGCAGAAGUAGAGCUCUCACGGGCACGUCUACCCUCGACCACGACCACGGACCCUAGGCUGCCGGUGUGUAGAGGAAAAGAGAACAAGGAAAGAACGAGGACAAUAGCAACACACUCAGCUUCCGCAAAGGUUGGGGCCGCCUCAUCUGCAGGGCUGGACAGCAGCAUGAGUGGCCAGGACAAGCAGGAGCAGACUGCUGCAGGGGGCAGGAGGGUCAGUGGUCACCAGAUGAAGCAACUGGCUGCUGGCAACUCCAGCAACAAAGGAGAGAGGAAGUUUGUGUGUCUGGAGUGUGGAAAAGAAUUAACCACAAGGCAAGGCCUCAGAUAUCACACCCUUACACACACUUGUGUGAAGAACUAUGAAUGUAAGGAAUGUGGGAAACAAUUCAUCCAGAAGAGUCACCUUGAUACACACACCCUUUCACACACUGGUGUGAAGAACUAUGAAUGUAAGGAAUGUGGGAAAAAAUUCAACCGGAAGGGUAACCUUGAUACACACACCCUUACACACACUGGUGUGAAGAACUAUGAAUGUAAGGAAUGUGGGAAAAAAUUCAUCCAGAAGAUUGACCUUGAUAGACACACCCUUACACACACUGGUGUGAAGAACUAUGAAUGUAAGGAAUGUGGGAAAAAAUUCAUCCUGAAGAGUCAACUUGACAGACACACCCUUACACACACUGGUGUAAAAAGUCAUGAGUGUGAAGAGUGCAGGAAGAGGUUCAGUGUGAAGCAGGCACUCAAUCGACAUGUCUUCAGGCACUAUGGCCUUAGAGAGUUCAAGUGUGAUGUUUGUGGAAAGCUCUUUAAGACAAGGGAUUACAUUGCCAAGCACAUGAAGAUCCACUUCUGAAGUGUGUCUGCCUACAGUAGUUAUAGUGACCAAGAAGGACAAGCAGGACCCGGACGGUGACAUCAUUAUGAGGCUUGAGUACGGUCUCCUGAACUCCUCGUCCCUGGAGCUGAUUGCGCGGAGAUGGUGGUGAGCAUAGCCAAGGGGUGCGAGGAGGAGGUGUGCAAAGUGGACAUGCAGACCGAGGUGGCGUUCCUGGAUGGCAAUAACAGUUCGGUCAUCAUAGGCAAGAUCAACCGGCUUGAGGUGACAGCAAGCAACAAGGGGGAACACGUGUACCUCCCCAGCCUAAUGGUGAGCCUGGCGCCGCCCCUCGUGGUCUUCCAGCCUCCUCACCAGUGCAUCUUCCACUCCUCCGAGCUUGUGUAUAACUUGACCAACCCUCUGAAGAGCAGUGCUGAGAGUGUGUGAAGCAGUUUGCCAACCUGGUCCUGGCCCUCAUGAUGCUGUUCGCCAGGUACAAUCACUGGAUGGUGGGCGACAAGUUUGAGAGACUCGCCCCCUCACUGCCGCCAACUCCAUCGCUGGCGGCUCCACGUCUACUCUCGUCUCCUCCUCCUCCGCCUCCUCCUCCUCUCUCAACAUGGACGGUCGAAAAAGGAUGUUUAGUGUGGAGGUGUUUGAUUGGGGUAUGUGGGUUGGUGUUUAUAAUUUCAUUUGUGUGUGUGUGUGUGUGUGUGUGUGUGUGUGUGUGUGUGUUACCCUUCCCUCCCUCCCUCACCCCAAUGUUUGUCUCUAGGUGUUUGUAGGCGAUAAGAUGACCUUUCAACACACCUUCUUUCUUUCCUUUCUUUAUUCUUUCCCUCUUUACGAUGUUAUUGUAAGUAUACGUAACCUUAAACUAAUGAAAUACAAGUUACGUGAACCCUACCCUCGAGAUAUGUUAUUUUGAUCUCUGUACGUAUAGGCAAGAUUACGUCUCUUAAACUAACGAUAUAUAAGUUAUGUCAACCUUAACCUGCGAGGUGUUUGUAUAAGUAACCUCAAUUCACUGGCAUGUUUGUAUAAGUAACCUCAAUUCACUGGUAUGUUUGUAUAAGUAACCUCAAUUCACUGGUAUGUUUGUUUAAGUAACCUCAAUUCACUGGUAUGUUUGUAUAAGUAACCUCAAUUCACUGGUAUGUUUGUAUAAGUAACCUCAAUUCACUGGUAUGUUUGUAUAAGUAACCUCAAUUCACUGGUAUGUUUGUAUAAGUAACCUCAAUUCACUGGUAUGUUUGUAUAAGUAACCUCAAUUCACUGGUAUGUUUGUAUAAGUAACCUCAAUUCAUUUCAUAUGUCGUAUGUUACAGUGAUCUCUGUAUGUAUAGUGAAGAUUACAUCCUUUAAACUAGCAAAAUAUAAGGUUCACCAACCUUACCUUUGAGAUGUUUUUAUGAGUAACCUCAAUUAACUCGUAUGUCGUAUGUUACUUUGACCUGUACGUAUAGAGAAGAUUAUGUCAUUUAAACUAGCAAAAUAUAAGUUACGCCAACCUUACCUACGAGAUGUUUGUAUAAGUAACCUCAUUUCAUUUCAUAUGUUACCUUGAUCUGUAUGUAUAGGGAAGAUUAUGUCAUUUAAACUGAUGGAAUAUAAUUUGUCAACCUUACUUACGAGAUGUUUGUAUAAGUAACUUCAAUUCACACUUUGAUCUCUGUACGUCGAGGCAAGGUUACGUCAGCCCAGCACUCACUGUUUGCUUAUUUCUCGUCUUUACGUAGACGUAACAUUACGAUCCUUGUAUUGUUGUAGGACUUGUGUUGUGGAGAGGAAGUAUUGCUGUAGGACUUGUGUUGUGGAGAGGAAGUAUUGCUGUAGGACUUGUGUUGUGGAGAGGAAGUAUUGCUGUAGGACUUGUGUUGUGGAGAGGAAGUAUUGCUGUAGGACUUGUGUUGUGGAGAGGAAGUAUUGCUAUAGGACUUGUGUUGUGGAGAGGAAGUAUUGCUAUAGGACUUGUGUUGUGGAGAGGAAGUAUUGCUAUAGGACUUGUGUUGUGGAGAGGAAGUAUUGCUGUAGGACUUGUGUUGUGGAGGGGAAGUAUUGCUAUAGGACUUGUGCUGUGGAGAGGAAGUAUUGCUGUAGGACUUGUGUUGCAAAGAGGAAGUAUUGCUGUAGGACUUGUGUUGCAAAGAGGAAGUAUUGCUAUAGGACUUGUGUUGUGGAGAGGAAGUAUUGUUGUAGGACUUGUGUUGUGGAGAGGAAGUAUUGCUGUAGGACUUGUGUUGUGGAGAGGAAGUAUUGCUGUAGGACUUGUGUUGUGGAGAGGAAGUAUUGCUGUAGGACUUGUGUUGUGGACAGACAAACAACGUAAUAUAAUCUUAUAAGGGAAGUAAGAGUGUUAUAAAAAUUGCAACAGUU